rnacentral:rRNA from 1 species
AAAGCUCCCUUCGGGGAGCGAGUAGAGUGGCGCACGGGUGAGUAACACGUAGGUAAUCUACCUUCGGAUUGGGAAUAACAACCGGAAACGGUUGCUAAUACCGAAUAAUGCAGCGGCACCUAAUGGUGACAGUUGUUAAAGCGGGGGAUCGCAAGACCUCGCGUCUGAAGAGGAGCCUGCGGCGGAUUAGCUAGUUGGUAAGGUAAUGGCUUACCAAGGCGAUGAUCCGUAGCCGGCCUGAGAGGGCGGUCGGCCACACUGACACUGACAUACGGGUCAGACUCCUACGGGAGGCAGCAGUCGGGAAUUUUGGGCAAUGGGCGAAAGCCUGACCCAGCAACGCCGCGUGAAGGAUGAAAUCCUUCGGGAUGUAAACUUCGCAAGAACGGGAAGAAUAAGCCGGUGUUAACACCACCGGUGAUGACGGUACUGUUUGUAAGCUCCGGCUAACUCCGUGCCAGCAGCCGCGGUAAUACGGGGGGAGCAAGCGUUGUUCGGAUUUACUGGGCGUAAAGGGCGGGUAGGCGGCCACCGCAAGUCAGUCGUGAAAUCUCCGGGCUUAACCCGGAAAGGUCAACUGAUACUGCGGGGCUAGAGUGCAGAAGGGGCAACUGGAAUUCUCGGUGUAGCGGUGAAAUGCGUAGAUAUCGAGAGGAACACCUGCGGCGAAGGCGGGUUGCUGGGCUGACACUGACGCUGAACUGCGAAAGCUAGGGGAGCGAACGGGAUUAGAUACCCCGGUAGUCCUAGCCUUAAACGAUGAAUGCUUGGUGUCUGGGGUUUUAUAGUCCCCGGGUGCCGUCGCUAACGCUUUAAGCAUUCCGCCUGGGGAGUAC